rnacentral:rRNA from 1 species
UACGGAGGGUGCAAGCGUUAUCCGGAUUUAUUGGGUUUAAAGGGUCCGUAGGCGGAUCUUUAAGUCAGUGGUGAAAGCCUACAGCUUAACUGUAGAAAUGCCAUUGAUACUGGAGAUCUUGAGUACAUUUGAAGUGGGCGGAAUGUGUCAUGUAGCGGUGAAAUGCAUAGAUAUGACACAGAACACCGAUUGCGAAGGCAGCUCACUAAACUGUAACUGACGCUGAGGGACGAAAGCGUGGGGAGCGAACAGG